GGGGGCCGAUCCGGCCCCGAGCCCGCCCCGAGCCAGCCCCGAGCCCACGCCGGGCCCCGCCCCGCCCAGGAGCCGCCAAUCGAAAGCCCUAAUGAGCAGUGGGGGCGGGACUCGCGCCUUUAAAGGGACCUCUUGGCUCGCGGCCACGGGGUGGCUGGGGGUAGGGGGCGGGAUUGGAGGGUGGGGGUGGGGGUAGGGGUGGGAGUAGGGGUGGGGGCGCUGGACGCAGACCACGUUAGAACCUCGGCUCCUGGAGUAGCAGAACCUCGGCUUCAAUGGGACACUCAUUUCAUAAAUGAAGAAACUGAGAUUCAAAGAGGGGAACUACCGAAGGUUACAGAGCGAGUUCGUGGAUGGGGAAACUGAGCCUCACAUGUAUGAAUUCCAGCAUAUAAGCAACAGACUCCAGAUUUGGACAUGUAUAUCUUGUUCCAGACUUCCCAGAUGACCACCAAGGUGGAAGGGAUGAUGAUGUCCAGGCAGAAGGGAGCUAGGCCGGCCCAGGCUUUUCCUCUAGGCACAGCGGACUCCAGGUUCAGCCUUCCCGGAUGGUAAUAUUGCAUUCUGAAGAGCUACUUUCCCGCCAACUCAUCUCUGGACUUCUCUGGGGCCCAACUCUGGUUUCCUGCCUGCAGGAGGUCCCCUCUGACUUCCGACGGUAGAUGACCCUUCUGACUCACAGUUCUACUGCUGGGAAAUGCCUCCAGAGCUGCUGCCCACCCCCUCUGCAUCCCUCCAGGUCACUGGGUGUCGAAUCAGGGGAAGCAGGGAUACACACGGGCAGGAAACUCAGGCCUCCUAAAUGUCAGAGCCUCAGGACUUCGGCUACUCAGAAGUAGCUCCCUCCUGGGCCACCAGGGAGCAGCAGGGCAGCCAGCAUCCAGACAUCCCCCCUGGGCUCUGCUGCUCAGAGGCUAGAUGGAGAACCAAGAGGUGCAGAGUGGUUGGUGACUUCUCCUGGGCCAUGAGGACAGUCAGUUAAAGUCCUGGCUACCUCUCCCUGAGCCCACAUAUCCUAUGGCUUCACGGAAGGUCCCACCUCCCAAGAAGGGGCUAGUGGCAGGGAAGUUGAGAAACAGAGAGACGGAAAGGUGGCAUAAAACCAAAGAGGGGGACACUGGAGAGGAGCCGGCAAGAGGCCAGGCUGGGGACGUCAGAGAAGAGGAAAACAGAGAUGAAGCCACAGGCCUGGGGACAAGGGAAGAUGAGAGACAGGAGAUGGAACCCCUUCCCAGACCUGGUGAUGAGGAGGAGGCUCUGAGGAGUCCUAGCCAGGCCCCAGAGAAGCCAUUCCCUUCCUUUGACAGAUGCCACCUGUGUACGCCCCUGCCCGCGAUGAAGUUAACAAAUCACCACCACCACCCUGCCCUGGCCUGGUUGCUGUUGACGUUCAGUCUCCAGGAUGCAUCAUUUUCUUGGAUUUUAAUAGACAAUUGCCUCGGCCAGACCCUGCAGAGCAAAUUGCCAGCAAAUGUUCAUUGAACACUUUAAAAAUCGAGGGGAAGAAGAGAGGGCUUGGAGGCAGCAUGUGGGGAGAGGUCAACCUCUAAAGUGCCAGCUCUCCAGAAAUGCAGCCGGACUGAAGGUUUGCAGGGAUGGUAGUGAAUGGAGCACUCCAGGCAGUGUGUGUGCUGAAUCUCAGGGCGGUUUUAGGAGCACUUCAGAGGCCUUUUUGACCAAGAUAUUCACGUUGGCCUGAGGUGAAACAACUCUUAAAAAGCUUUAUUUGAGGAGCCUGGCAGUCCUAUAAGGGGAAACCCACCUAUUACUUCAAGCAAAGCUGAUGCAGAGAGAUGAGCCAAUUGAGCAGGAGACAAUGUAAGCAGCUGUGGGGGUGUCGAGUACUCCCUCCUGCCUGUGGGAGCUGCACCGUGGAGUCUAGCUUGUCACCCUCCAGAGGCAGAGCCCCUCCUCCCUGCCUCCUCUUGGUCUAGAUGGACAGCCAUGGCAGCGGAGGCUGCAGAGCUGAGCAGGCCGAGCUGCAGCCUCCCAGCCUUUGGAACCCUGCUUCUCCAUCUUGGCCACACAUAGGAUCACCUGAGGAGCUCAAAGUCUACAGCCCAAGGUUGGUGAGAUGGGAACCACCCAGCACAGCGGGAUCUCCUUGGAACCUAAAUCCAGUGAUGGGAUCUUAUUGUCCACAGUCUUUUGUGGUAUGUGCUACCACCGAAGAUCCUCUCCUAACCUAUCAUGUGUUCAAUACGUCUCAGCUCCUAGACUUGCUGAAGCCGACGGAAUAAAAGAACCUCUCAUCACUGGGGCCAAUACUGACAUGACGUGAGGCUUCCCCCUGCUGGCCAAAGAAGCCUCUGCCAUCGA